rnacentral:rRNA from 1 species
GGUGAGUAAUGUAUAGGAAUCUACCUAGUAGUACGGAAUAAUUGUUGGAAACGGCAACUAAUACCGUAUACGCCCUACGGGGGAAAGAUUUAUCGCUAUUAGAUGAGCCUAUAUUAGAUUAGCUAGUUGGUAAGGUAAUGGCUUACCAAGGCAAUGAUCUAUAGCUGAUCUGAGAGGAUGAUCAGCCACACUGGAACUGAGAUACGGUCCAGACUCCUACGGGAGGCAGCAGUGGGGAAUAUUGGACAAUGGGCGAAAGCCUGAUCCAGCCAUGCCGCAUGAGUGAAGAAGGCCUUUGGGUUGUAAAGCUCUUUCGGUGAGGAAGAUAAUGACGGUACUCACAGAAGAAGUCCUGGCUAACUCUGUGCCAGCAGCCGCGGUAAUACGGAGAGGGCUAGCGUUAUUCGGAAUCAUUGGGCGUAAAGGGCGCGUAGGCGGGUUAAUAAGUUAAAAGUGAAAUCCCAAGGCUCAACCUUGGAACUGCUUUUAAAACUGCUAGUCUAGAGAUUGAAAGAGGAUAGAGGAAUUCCUAGUGUAGAGGUGAAAUUCGUAAAUAUUANGAGGAACACCAGUGGCGAA